ensembl:misc_RNA Y_RNA Y RNA
GGCUGGUCCCAGUGCAGUGGUGUUUACAACUAAUUGAUCACAACCCAGGACAGAUUUCUUUGCUCCUUUGCUACUCUGACUGGCCUUAA